UACGUAGGGCGCAAGCGUUGUCCGGAAUUAUUGGGCGUAAAGAGCUCGUAGGCGGUCUGUCGCGUCUGGUGUGAAAACUCAGGGCUUAACCCUGAGCUUGCAUCGGGUACGGGCAGACUAGAGUGCGGUAGGGGAGACUGGAAUUCCUGGUGUAGGCGGUGAAAUGCGCAGAUAUCAGGAGGAACACCGGUGGCGAAGGCGGGUCUCUGGGCCGUAACUGACGCUGAGGAGCGAAAGCAUGGGAGCGAACAGG
rnacentral:rRNA from 1 species